rnacentral:rRNA from 1 species
AUUGAACGCUGGCGGAAUGCUUUACACAUGCAAGUCGAACGGCAGCACGGACUUCGGUCUGGUGGCGAGUGGCGAACGGGUGAGUAAUGUAUCGGAACGUGCCCAGUCGUGGGGGAUAACGUAGUGAAAAUUACGCUAAUACCGCAUACGAUCUAUGGAUGAAAGCGGGGGACCGCAAGACCUCGCGCGAUUGGAGCGGCCGAUAUCAGAUUAGGUAGUUGGUGGGGUAAAGGCCCACCAAGCCAACGAUCUGUAGCUGGUCUGAGAGGACGAACAGCCACACUGGAACUGAGACACGGUCCAGACUCCUACGGGAGGCAGCAGUGGGGAAUUUUGGACAAUGGGCGAAAGCCUGAUCCAGCCAUUCCGCGUGCAGGAUGAAGGCCCUCGGGUUGUAAACUGCUUUUGUACAGAACGAAAAGGUUUCUACUAAUACUAGGAGCUCAUGACGGUACUGUAAGAAUAAGCACCAGCUAACUACGUGCCAGCCGCCGCCGUAA